rnacentral:rRNA from 1 species
UGGGGAAUAUUGCACAAUGGGCGCAAGCCUGAUGCAGCCAUGCCGCGUGUGUGAAGAAGGCCUUCGGGUUGUAAAUCACUUUCAGCGGGGAGGAAGGCGAUAAGGUUAAUAACCUCAUCGAUUGACGUUACCCGCAGAAGAAGCACCGGCUAACUCCGUGCCAGCAGCCGCGGUAAUUCGGAGGGUGCAAGCGUUAAUAGGAAUUACUUGGCGUAAAGCGCAUGCAGGCGGUUGAUUUAGUCAGAUGUGAAAUCCCCGGGCUUAACCCGGGAAUUGCAUCUGAUACUGGUCAGCUAGAGUCUUGUAGAGGGGGGUAGAAUUCCAUGUGUAGCAGUGAAAUGCGUAGAGAUGUGGAGGGAUACCGGUGGCGAAGUCGGCCCCCUUGACAAAGACUGAAGCUCAGGUGCGAAAGCGUGGGGAGCAAACAGG